AUUUUGAAGAAGAAAACUCUAGAGCAGAAAAGAGGAGGGAGCCUGCAGCAGAGACGGGGGUCAUGUGUGGGGAAUGAUCACUUCAGCCACUGUGAAGUCAGGUGGGCUGAGCGAUGUGCAACCAGGCACAGGUAAGCCCCUGAAUUAUUUUCUGAUCUACUUGUAUGUUCAUAUGCUCACCUGUUCCUCCUUGGACCCAUGACCUUCAUUAAAGAGAAGGCAGAUUUGUCCAAACGCAAGGAAUAGAAAACUCAGAAGUCCACUGGACUAUUCAGGAAUUAGAUCAUAACUGUGACCUUACUAUCUAACCAGCCGACUUAACUGGUAUGUAGCUAUAGGUUGUUUUUAACAGAUGUACUGAGGUAUAAUUGACUACAAUAAGUUGUGCAUAUUUAAAGUGUAUAAUUUGAUAGGUUUUGACACAAACACACAUAUAUAUGCAUAUGAAUAAGCAUAUACAUAUAUAUACUUCCUGAAUCAUCACCCCAAUCAAGUUAAUGAAUAUAUCCAUCAUUUUCAGUUUGCAUAUUGUUUUGAGAUGUUAUAAUCAAUUACUUUCCAUUUCUAUUAUUUUCAUAAUAAUAACUGUUAUUAUUAUUAUUAGGGAGUGAUGAUUAGGCAGAUGAAAUGACUAUUAACUUUCUUUCCCAGCAAAACUUCAUUUCAUUCCCACCUGCUUAUGAAUGGAAAAGAUCGUAUGGACUUGAGCAUCAGGAUGUACGCAUGAGAAACAUCUUCCCUAAGUUCACUUGUCCUCUUGGGCCAAGGAUGCUGAUGUUCCACAUGUCUAUGGAGCUUGCCUUUUACCCUCAGAGCCAGAGACCAUUUUUAAGGAUGACGCAUAUGUGGCUAUAUAGGUCAAGAAUUCAGCACUAUAGGAAUCCCAGCUACUCUGGAGGCCGAGGCAGGAGAAUCGCUUGAACCCGGGAGGUGGAGGUUGCAAUGAGCUGAGAUCGCACCACUGCACUGCAGCCUGAGAGACACAGCAAGACUCCAUCUCAAAAAAUAAAUGGAUAAAUUAAACAAAGCUACCAACUUUUGGAAAGGAGAUUUUGUCUGAUACUUAGUUUUAUUUCUUCACUUAAG
rnacentral:lncRNA from 1 species